GACGAACGCUGGCGGCGUGCUUAACACAUGCAAGUCGAACGGAAAGGCCUCUUUCGGGGGGUUCUCGCGUGGCGAACGGGUGGGUAACAAAUAAGUAGCCAGCCCUUGAAUUUGGGAUAACUUACGGAAACAGGGGCUAAUACAGGCUAGGAGCUCCUGCUGACUGGUGGGGGUUGGAGAGUUUCGGCGGUUGGGGAUGGCCUCGCGGCGUAUCAGCUAGUUGGUGGGGUAACGGCUAGCUAAGGGCUUGAUGCGUAGCCGACCUGAGAGGGGGACGGGCCACAGUGGAGCUGAGCCACGGUCCAGACUCCUACGGGAGGCAGCAGUAGGGAAUCUUGCGCAAUGGGCGAAAGCCUGACGGAGGGGCGCCGCGUGAGUGAUGAAGGUCUUCGGAUCGUAAAACUCUGUUAUGGGGGAAGACCAAAUGUGUAAGUAACUAUGCUCGUGUUGACGGUAGCGAAUAAGAAAGCCCCGGCUAACUACGUG
rnacentral:rRNA from 1 species